UACGAAGGGGGCUAGCGUUGCUCGGAAUGACUGGGCGUAAAGGGCGCGUAGGCGGUUCGUACAGUCAGACGUGAAAUUCCCGGGCUCAACCUGGGGGCUGCAUUUGAUACGUAUGGACUUGAGUUCGGAAGAGGGUCGUGGAAUUCCCAGUGUAGAGGUGAAAUUCGUAGAUAUUGGGAAGAACACCGGUGGCGAAGGCGGCGACCUGGUCCGAUACUGACGCUGAGGCGCGAAAGCGUGGGGAGCAAACAGG
rnacentral:rRNA from 1 species